rnacentral:lncRNA from 1 species
AGAUUAAGUGGCGUGCAAACGGAGGACAAGAAACAGUCCAUCUUGGACGGAGGGCGAAGCGGGGCGACGGCGGGCGGAGCAGCGACGCGCGCGAAGCCGGCGGGGCGGCAGCGGGCGGAGUGGGGCAAUGGCGCAUGCGGGCGAAGAGGGGCGACGGCGGGCGGAGUGCCGACGCGUCCGAACUCCGAAACUGGCGGGGCGACGGCGCAUGCGGGCGGAGAUCGGCGCGGGGCGUACAGCGAUCGACGGCGGCCUGGGGGCCCCGACUUGCUGAUGCUGUUGAAGACGAACAGGAGGGCCUUGGCGUUGGAUCUUGCGGCUUGCCUGUGGAUCUGGAUAUGCUCGCUGCUUGCUGAUGAAGAUGCGCUUGUUGCUGACGGGAGAGCUGAUGGGAUGACGAGACCGACGGACGGUGGCUCGCCGACGAUGGAUGCUUGCUGCUUGAUACCAGCGAUCCCCACAGCGGAGGUGCGUGUCCUCCUCCUCCUCGAACCUGUCGCCAUAGUCGUCGUCGUCUUCAGCAGCAGCGGCGUCAGCAUGCGUCGUCUUCGGCGGCGUCGGGCGCCGCGUUCGGGGUGUGUAUGGGGGGAGUGCAGCGUGCGCAUGUUUGCUACAUCAGCGGCGGAGGUGGAGGUGGAGGGGUAAGGUGUGGGAU